AGUGGCAGACGGGUGAGUAACGCGUGGGAAGCUACCUUGUGGUAGGGGACAACAGUUGGAAACGACUGCUAAUACCCUAUGAGCCCUAUGGGGGAAAGAUUUAUCGCCAUGAGAUGUGCCCGCGUUAGAUUAGCUAGUUGGUAAGGUAAUGGCUUACCAAGGCGACGAUCUAUAGCUGGUCUGAGAGGAUGAUCAGCCACACUGGGACUGAGACACGGCCCAGACUCCUACGGGAGGCAGCAGUGGGGAAUAUUGGACAAUGGGGGCAACCCUGAUCCAGCCAUGCCGCGUGUGUGAUGACGGCCUUAGGGUUGUAAAGCACUUUCAGCAGUGAAGAUAAUGACAUUAACUGCAGAAGAAGCCCCGGCUAACUUCGUGCCAGCAGCCGCGGUAAUACGAAGGGGGCUAGCGUUGUUCGGAAUCACUGGGCGUAAAGAGUACGUAGGCGGACUGAUAAGUUAGGGGUGAAAUCCCAAGGCUCAACCUUGGAACUGCCUUUGAUACUGUCAGUCUUGAGAUCGAGAGAGGUGAGUGGAACUCCGAGUGUAGAGGUGA
rnacentral:rRNA from 1 species